UUUUAGCUACCACUUGCAGAUGGACCCGCGGCGCAUUAGCUAGUUGGUGAGGUAACGGCUCACCAAGGCGACGAUGCGUAGCCGACCUGAGAGGGUGAUCGGCCACACUGGGACUGAGACACGGCCCAGACUCCUACGGGAGGCAGCAGUAGGGAAUCUUCCGCAAUGGACGAAAGUCUGACGGAGCAACGCCGCGUGAGUGAUGAAGGUUUUCGGAUCGUAAAACUCUGUUGUUAGGGAAGAACAAGUACCGUUCGAAUAGGGCGGUACCUUGACGGUACCUAACCAGAAAGCCACGGCUAACUACGUGCCAGCAGCCGCGGUAAUACGUAGGUGGCAAGCGUUGUCCGGAAUUAUUGGGCGUAAAGCGCGCGCAGGCGGUUUCUUAAGUCUGAUGUGAAAGCCCCCGGCUCAACCGGGGAGGGUCAUUGGAAACUGGGGAACUUGAGUGCAGAAGAGGAGAGUGGAAUUCCACGCGUAGCGGUGAAAUGCGUAGAGAUGUGGAG
rnacentral:rRNA from 1 species